AAACUUGAGAGUUUGAUCAUGGCUCAGAAUGAACGCUGGCGGCACGCUUAACACAUGCAAGUCGAACGAGAUCUUCGGAUCUAGUGGCAGACGGGUGCGUAACGCGUGGGAACCUGCCCUUUAGUAAGGAAUAACUUUAGGAAACUGAAGCUAAUACCUUAUAAUCCCUUCGGGGGAAAGCUUUAUGCGCUAAUGGAUGGGCCCGCGUUAGAUUAGCUUGUUGGUGAGGUAAAGGCUCACCAAGGCUACGAUCUAUAGCUGGUCUGAGAGGAUGAUCAGCCACACUGGGACUGAGACACGGCCCAGACUCCUACGGGAGGCAGCAGUGGGGAAUAUUGGACAAUGGGGGCAACCCUGAUCCAGCGAUGCCGCGUGAGUGAUGAAGGCCCUAGGGUUGUAAAACUCUUUCGCCAGGGAAGAUAAUGACGGUACCUGGUAAAGAAGAUCCGGCUAACUCCGUGCCAGCAGCCGCGGUAAUACGGAGGGAUCUAGCGUUAUUCGGAAUAACUGGGCGUAAAGCGAGCGUAGGCGGAUUUGUAAGUUGGAGGUGAAAUCCCAGGGCUUAACCCUGGAACUGCCUUCAAAACUACAUUUCUUGAGUUUGGUAGAGGAGAGUGGAAUUCCUAGUGUAGAGGUGAAAUUCGUAGAUAUUAGGAGGAACACCAGUGGCGAAGGCGACUCUCUGGGCCAAUACUGACGCUGAGGUUCGAAAGCGUGGGUAGCGAACAGGAUUAGAUACCCUGGUAGUCCACGCAGUAAACGAUGAGUGCUAGAUGUUGGGAACAUUAGUUUUCAGUAUCGCAGCUAACGCGUUAAGCACUCCGCCUGGGAAGUACGGCCGCAAGGCUAAAACUCAAAUGAAUUGACGGGGACCCGCACAAGCGGUGGAUCAUGUGGUUUAAUUCGAAGCAACGCGAAGAACCUUACCGGCUCUUGACAUACCAAUCGCGGAUCUAAGAGAUUAGAUCCUUCACUUCGGGUGGAUUGGAUACAGGUGCUGCAUGGCUGUCGUCAGCUCGUGUCGUGAGAUGUUGGGUUAAGUCCCGCAACGAGCGCAACCCCUACCUUCAAUUGCCAGCACGUUAUGGUGGGAACUUUGAAGGAACUGCCGGUGAUAAGCCGGAGGAAGGUGGGGAUGACGUCAAGUCCUCAUGGCCCUUACGGGCCGGGCUACACACGUGAUACAAUGGUGAUUACAAAGGGCUGCUACAGAGCGAUCUCAAGCAAAUCCCUAAAAGUCAUCUCAGUUCGGAUUGCACUCUGCAACUCGAGUGCAUGAAGUUGGAAUCGCUAGUAAUCGUAGAUCAGCGCGCUACGGUGAAUACGUUCCCGGGUCUUGUACACACCGCCCGUCACACCAUGGGAGUUGGUUUUACCUGAAGGUAGUUCGCUAACCGCAAGGAGGCAGCUAACCACGGUAAGAUUAGCGACUGGGGUGAAGUCGUAACAAGGUAACCGUAGGGGAACCUGCGGUUGGAUCACCUCCUUU
rnacentral:rRNA from 1 species